rfam:Balneola sp. EhC07 strain EhC08 A6_Contig6, whole genome shotgun sequence.
GGUCCGGUAGUUCAGUUGGUUAGAACGCCUGCCUGUCACGCAGGAGGUCGAGGGUUCGAGUCCCUUCCGGAUCG